GAAAUACCACCCUUUAAUGUUUGAUGUUCUAACGUUGACCCGUAAUCCGGGUUGCGGACAGUGUCUGGUGGGUAGUUUGACUGGGGCGGUCUCCUCCUAAAGAGUAACGGAGGAGCACGAAGGUUGGCUAAUCCUGGUCGGACAUCAGGAGGUUAGUGCAAUGGCAUAAGCCAGCUUGACUGCGAGCGUGACGGCGCGAGCAGGUGCGAAAGCAGGUCAUAGUGAUCCGGUGGUUCUGAAUGGAAGGGCCAUCGCUCAACGGAUAAAAGGUACUCCGGGGAUAACAGGCUGAUACCGCCCAAGAGUUCAUAUCGACGGCGGUGUUUGGCACCUCGAUGUCGGCUCAUCACAUCCUGGGGCUGAAGUAGGUCCCAAGGGUAUGGCUGUUCGCCAUUUAAAGUGGUACGCGAGCUGGGUUUAGAACGUCGUGAGACAGUUCGGUCCCUAUCUGCCGUGGGCGCUGGAGAACUGAGGGGGGCUGCUCCUAGUACGAGAGGACCGGAGUGGACGCAUCACUGGUGUUCGGGUUGUCAUGCCAAUGGCACUGCCCGGUAGCUAAAUGCGGAAGAGAUA
rnacentral:rRNA from 1 species